GGCCAAUUAGCUCAGUUGGUUAGAGCAUGAUGCUAAUAACACCAAGGUUGACGGUUCGAUCCCCACAUUGGCCA